rnacentral:rRNA from 1 species
UACGUAGGGUGCAAGCGUUGUCCGGAAUUAUUGGGCGUAAAGAGCUUGUAGGCGGUUUGUCGUGUCUGCUGUGAAAUUUCGGGGCUCAACCCCGAACUUGCAGUGGGUACGGGCAGACUAGAGUGUGGUAGGGGAGACUGGAAUUCCUGGUGUAGCGGUGAAAUGCGCAGAUAUCAGGAGGAACACCGAUGGCGAAGGCAGGUCUCUGGGCCAUAACUGACGCUGAGAAGCGAAAGCAUGGGGAGCGAACAGG